CCAUCUAUGGGUUAUGCGAUGCCAGAGACAUCCCUUAAACCAGGGUCUGUACCAGUCAUGCAUAAUUUUUCUUAUUUCUGUGUCGCCUUUGAUUGCAGGUUGGUGGGGGUCUGGAUUGCAUGGGCCGCACGCCGUCUGCAUGACUUUGGCGGUGUUGGCGGAUCAUUGGUAUUGGCAACAUCUUUGUUCGCCUUCAUCCUCUCAGUUUGAAUACUCUCAAUGGUACUGAUCCUAUUGUGUUUCACAGUGUUUUUAUAACCUUGACCUGGUCCCAUCUCAUUUCUACAUCAGCCUCAUACACUUUAAGAGCAAGUGCUGUCCUAAGUAUCAUUGAGAGUAUUCGGAUUGAGAGGAUGAAGCCGAAUGGGGAUGUUGUAGAUACUAGUGAUCCGCUGGUGCUGCCAAGGUCAUGCAGAUGGUGUGUGGCUCAUGCAAUCUAGACCACCUGUUGACUUGUAAUCGGGGGCGGCACGGGAGUGGGAAGGAUUAUGCAUGACUGGUGUGGGC
rnacentral:lncRNA from 1 species